UACAGGGGGGGCAAGCGUUGUUCGGAAUUACUGGGCGUAAAGGGUUCGUAGGCGGCCCACUUAGUCAGACGUGAAAUCCCUCAGCUUAACUGGGGAACUGCGUCUGAUACUGGAUGGCUUGAGUGCAGGAGAGGAACGCGGAAUUCCAGGUGUAGCGGUGAAAUGCGUAGAUAUCUGGAGGAACACCGGUGGCGAAGGCGGCGUUCUGGACUGCAACUGACACUGAGGAACGAAAGCCAGGGGAGCAAACGGG
rnacentral:rRNA from 1 species